UUUGUCAGUGAGGAGAACAGAAGCCGAUGCUCUCAAGGAAAGAGAUGAAGCCAAGUGCCCCCUCUCAGGCACACUGACUUCCUCAGCUUCAGGAGGG